UACGGGGGGGGCGAGCGUUGUUCGGAAUUACUGGGCGUAAAGGGCGCGUAGGCGGUCUGCUAAGUUGGGUGUGAAAACUCUGGGCUUAACCCAGAGCCUGCAUUCAAAACUGACAGGCUAGAGUUCUGGAGGGGGUAGCGGAAUUCCUGGUGUAGCGGUGAAAUGCGUAGAUAUCAGGAGGAACACCAAUAGCGAAGGCAGCUCGCUGGGACGGUACUGACACUGAGGCGCGAAAGCGUGGGGAGCGAACAGG
rnacentral:rRNA from 1 species